GUUUAGCAUCAUUUAAAAAUUUCUUCUUUUGUUGCCAUGAAAGAUCAUCUGGGAGAAUCCCUGCAGCCUUGAAAUUGGCUAUGUCUGCAAACCAGGGCCUCUGUUGCACCAUCAUCAAAUUCUCAUCACAAAACUCUUCACGAAUUUCUCUCUCCUUAGUGGUAACUUCUUCAUUAACAAGCCUGGAGAGAUGGUCAGCAAU
rnacentral:lncRNA from 1 species